GGGGAUUUAGUUCAGUGGUACAGCACCUGCCUGACAAGCAUGAAGUCCUGAGUUAGAUUCCCAGUACCUA
rnacentral:tRNA from 1 species